rnacentral:rRNA from 1 species
GAUGAACGCUGGCGGCGUGCCUAAUACAUGCAAGUCGAGCGAACGGACGAGAAGCUUGCUUUUCUGAUGUUAGCGGCGGACGGGUGAGUAACACGUGGAUAACCUACCUAUAAGACUGGGAUAACUUCGGGAAACCGGAGCUAAUACCGGAUAAUAUUUUGAACCGCAUGGUUCAAAAGUGAAAGACGGUCUUGCUGUCACUUAUAGAUGGAUCCGCGCUGCAUUAGCUAGUUGGUAAGGUAACGGCUUACCAAGGCAACGAUGCAUAGCCGACCUGAGAGGGUGAUCCGCCACACUGGAACUGAGACACGGUCCAGACUCCUACGGGAGGCAGCAGUAGGGAAUUUUCCGCAAUUGGCGAAAGCCUUACGGAGCAACGCCGCGUGAGUGAUGAAGGUCUUCGGAUCGUAAAACUCUGUUAUUAGGGAAGAACAUAUGUGUAAGUAACUGUGCACAUCUUGACGGUACCUAAUCAGAAAGCCACGGCUAACUACGUG